UACAGAGGUCUCAAGCGUUGUUCGGAUUCAUUGGGCGUAAAGGGCGCGUAGGCGGCAAGGCCAGUCGGGUGUGAAAGGCUUGGGGCCUUAACCCCAAGAGGGCACUCGAUACUGCUUUUGCGUGGAGGGCCGGAGAGAGAUCGGAAUUCACGGUGUAGCAGUGAAAUGCGUAGAGCUCGUGAGGAAGACCGGUGGCGAAGGCGGAUCUCUGGACGGCUACUGACGCUGAGGCGCGAAGGCUAGGGGAGCAAACGGG
rnacentral:rRNA from 1 species